GGGGCCCGCACAAGCAGUGGAGUAUGUGGUUUAAUUCGAAGCAACGCGAAGAACCUUUACCAGGGCUUGACAUCCCUUGAAGCAGCUAGAGAUAGCUGUGUCCUUCGGGACAAGGAGACAGGUGGUGCAUGGUUGUCGUCAGCUCGUGUCGUGAGAUGUUGGGUUAAGUCCCGCAACGAGCGCAACCCCUGUGGUUAGUUGCCAGCAAGUAGCGUUGGGCACUCUAGCCAGACUGCCGGUGAUAAAUCGGAGGAAGGUGGGGACGACGUCAAAUCAUCAUGCCCUUUAUGUCCUGGGCUACACACGUACUACAAUGGCCGUUACAACGGGAAGCGAAGGAGCAAUCCGGAGCAAAUCCCUUAAAGGCGGUCCCAGUCCAGAUUGUGGGCUGAAACUCGCCCACAUGAAGGCGGAAUUGCUAGUAAUUGCAGAUCAGCAUGCUGCAGUGAAUACGUUCCCGGGCCUU
rnacentral:rRNA from 1 species